UACAGGGGGGGCAAGCGUUGUUCGGAAUUACUGGGCGUAAAGGGCGCGUAGGCGGUUUGCUAAGUUGAAUGUGAAAACUCUGGGCUUAACCCAGAGCCUGCAUUCAAUACUGGCAGGCUAGAGUUCUGGAGGGGAUAGCGGAAUUCCUGGUGUAGCGGUGAAAUGCGUAGAUAUCAGGAGGAACACCGGUGGCGAAGGCGGCUAUCUGGACAGAGUCUGACGCUGAGGCGCGAAAGCUAGGGGAGCAAACAGG
rnacentral:rRNA from 1 species